CCUACGGGAGGCAGCAGUGAGGAAUAUUGGUCAAUGGACGAGAGUCUGAACCAGCCAAGUAGCGUGAAGGAUGACUGCCCUAUGGGUUGUAAACUUCUUUUAUAUGGGAAUAAAACAGGGUAUGCAUACCCUCUUGUAUGUACCAUAUGAAUAAGGAUCGGCUAACUCCGUGCCAGCAGCCGCGGUAAUACGGAGGAUCCGAGCGUCAUCCGGAUUUAUUGGGUUUAAAGGGAGCGUAGGCGGGUUGUUAAGUCAGUUGUGAAAGUUUGCGGCUCAACCGUAAAAUUGCAGUUGAUACUGGCAUCCUUGAGUACAGUAGAGGUAGGCAGAAUGCGUGGUGUAGCGGUGAAAUGCAUAGAGAUCACGCAGAACCCCGAUUGCGAAGGCAGCCUUCCGGCGCCCGACUGACGCUGAGGCACGAAAGUGCGGGGAUCGAACAGGAUUAGAUACCCGUGUAGUC
rnacentral:rRNA from 1 species